CCUCUUUAUUGUUUGUUUGGUUUCUCUUCUUAAUUAUUUUGUUUUCCUCUCUUGACUGUUGACGGCGCUCCACUAUUCAUUCCUUCUUUAUUCUUAUUCUUUUUGGUAUGUUGCUUUAUUGAGUUCAGAAAUCAGUUAACUAUAUAGCAGAUUCUGACAUUUCAAACUUAUUCUCAGGAUGCAGCUAACUAUCGCGAUGAGCUGAGAGAAAUUGCGCCCCACUCUCUUUUGAAAUGCUCAAGUGAUGCAACAACCUUGGGAAUCAGGGUUCAAGUGAGGUGUGUGUAUAUUGAGGGCCGGAGUCAGCCUUCAAAGGGUCGCUAUUUCUUUGCAUACAGAAUACAAAUUACCAAUAACUCAGAACGCCCUGUCCAACUUCUUAGAAGACAUUGGAUUAUAACCGAUGCCCAUGGAAAAACUGAGAAUGUCUGGGGGAUUGGUGUUAUUGGUGAAUCGCCA